UACGUAGGUGGCAAGCGUUGUCCGGAUUUACUGGGCGUAAAGAGCGCGCGGGCGGUCGUUCAAGUCGCGUGUGAAAGCCCCCGGCUCAACUGGGGAGGGUCACGCGAUACUGAUCGACUCGAAGGCAGGAGAGGGAAGUGGAAUUCCCGGUGUAGUGGUGAAAUGCGUAGAUAUCGGGAGGAACACCAGUGGCGAAGGCGGCAUUCUGGACCAUUACUGACACUGAAUCGCGAAAGCUAGGGGAGCAAACGGG
rnacentral:rRNA from 1 species